GCUGGGCGUGGUGGCUCACGCCUGUAACCCCAGCACUUUGGGGGGCUGAGGCAGGCGGAUCACCUGAGGUCAGGAGUUCAAGACCAGCCUGACCAACAUGGUGAAACCCCGUCUCUA
ensembl:misc_RNA Metazoa_SRP Metazoan signal recognition particle RNA